rnacentral:lncRNA from 1 species
AUGAAAGGUAAUGUUUUUGGAAUAAUGCAGGCCACGGUGCUCAUUCUAAUCCUGUCCCACUCCCCAUUUGAAGAAAUGAAAUGGAUUUGUACUCUUAACAUGCCCCAUGCUUCCUUUUAUUCACAGCUUUCUCAAGUACUUUUUUCCACUGGAUUUCUGCCUUUUCUUCCCCCACCUUCACCUCAUGAAGUUCUGUGCAUCAUUCAAGGUCAAUUUCUAGCAUCAGGCCCUUCAAGAUCUUGCUCACAUGGGAUUGUAAUACCAUUGAAAUUAAAGCAGAGAGAUGCAUUUAGGAAAUCUCCUGUCUUAAAAUGCUUCACAGAACUCCAAGUAAGUCUUACACGCGGGGACUAUUCAAGUUCUGUCCAAAUUAUUUAAUUGUAUCUCUGGGCCUUGGCGUAUUAAGAAAUGUAACAAGGAGGUGGAAAUGUAUCAUAAAAUCUGUAUUUUAAAGAAAUCUCUAGCUCAGAGUAAAUGAAGGGGACUGGGAAUCAAUUACACUUGGGUAUGUAAUUUGAAUAAAUGAAAAUGCCAGGAUGAUUGAAGCUUGUAU